rnacentral:rRNA from 1 species
UACAGAGGGGGCAAGCGUUGUUCGGAAUUACUGGGCGUAAAGGGCGCGUAGGCGGGUCUUUUAAGUCAGGGGUGAAAUCCUGGAGCUCAACUCCAGAACUGCCUUUGAUACUGAGGAUCUUGAGUUCGGGAGAGGUGAGUGGAACUGCGAAGUGUAGAGGUGAAAUUCGUAGAUAUUCGCAAGAACACCAGUGGCGAAGGCGGCUCACUGGCCCGAUACUGACGCUGAGGCACGAAAGCGUGGGGAGCAAACAGG